rnacentral:lncRNA from 1 species
CUAAAAUUCAUAAAAAAAAGAACCAAAAAAGAGCUCAAAGACCCAAAGUCAUGCUCAGCAAAAACAACAAAACUAGAGGCAUCCCAUUUCACUGCAAAUUAGACUACAAAAUUUUUGACAAGUGCAUAGUAACCAAAAUAGUAUAAUCCUAGCAUAAAACUAGACACUUAGAUCAAUGGGACAGAUGAGAGAACCAGAAAGACAGACACAUAGGACUUGUGUCUCUCCUGCUGUGCAUCCAUACUGGGUGCUUUAGAGAGAGCGGGCACACCAGAAGCCCAUGUUGCAAGUGAGGACAAAGUGUGGGAAGGCCGUGAGUGUACAGUCCGAGAUGGCCUUGGCCUCAGCCCGCAGUUCACUGUUGAUGCGCUGGAAUGCCGCCUCCUUCUCCAGGUCCAGGUCUUCGGCAGUGACCCGGAACCCCAGCUCUAAGGGAGGUGGCAGCAUCAGAGGAUCCCCUUGCCUGUGUGGCGGCAGGGGAAGCUUGCGUUUACGGGGCCUAGAGACCUGAGAUCUGGGGGAGCCAUUCCUGAGGGCCAGUGUCUGCCCUGGUGCUAUAUCUGCCAUCUUUUCACACUGGGUGUGACCCAAAGAGACAGCCUGAGUCCGUCCUCACUCACUGUCUUUGAGGAACUGAGGUCACUGGCAGUGGAUGAGGCUGGCCCCCACCUCCGCUUUAGCCCGGGAGGCCUCCCGUAGAGCUGUAGGAGCUCGAGAUGACAUUUUGUUGGGGCACGAGCUCGUCCAGGAGGUCUGGGAUCUCUGUUAUAUUGAUUCUGACCUCUGGCAUGGAGGUCCUCUGCAGAGCCCGGGACCUCUCCUUGAGAGCGCUCAAUACUAUCUUCCCUGGCCACAAGUCUGGGGACAGCCGGCUGUUGUGGGCCCCAAAGGGGUGACUACCUCCUCCUGGGUCCCACAGAGAGUCCUUGUGUUCAGUGGAGUGGCUGAGCUAGAGGACCCCCUGGAAUUCGGCGCACGCAGCACUGACUUGCUGUGGUACCUGUGCAAUCAAAUUGAAGGCAGAAUCACUGGGAAGGAACACAGGUCUUGCAGGAUCACAGAAAACCUUCUUAGAGUUGUCUUGACACCACUGAUGCCAAGUGUCCGGGUGCUUGUAGGAUGGCCUGCCACUCAGUCCAGGGGCAGGAGCAACGGGGAGAUCCUACAAGCAAAGUGAACUGGGGGAUGGGCUGAACGGACUCCAGGCAACUGAGCACUACUAGCAGGUCCUCAGCCUGGGCCCCGACAGGAAUGAGGGGCACAGAGUGCCCAGGUAACCGCUGCUGGGAGGAGUGGGGAACCGUCGGAUGCUUGAACGCUGGAGAGCUGGACUCUGAGCCUCCUCGUGGAGCUGCCAACUCAGCCAAAGUCUAAGCCAGCAGUUCCUUCUGUUGCCGGGCAACGCGCCUUCUAAACCUGAGGGAGUGGGU